rnacentral:rRNA from 1 species
GCUGUUCGCGGCAUCACGCAGAAGACAAGUGUUAUUCAUCUUUAAUCGGUUUAAAGGGUACCUAGACGGAAAAUAAAGCCAUAGUAGGAACUAAUUUUCUAGAGUUUUAUGGAAAAAAGUCGAAUAUCUGGAGUAGAGAUAAAAUAUGAUAAUACCAGAGAGACGGGUAACGGCGUAGGCAACUUUUUAUGUAAAAACUGACGUUGAGGGACGAAGCCCUGGGUAACGAUAAGGAUUAGAUACCCCAGUAGUCCAGGGAGACAAUUAUGAGUGCCAUAGGCUAAAUAACUUAAUCUAUAAAUGAAAGUGCAAGCAUUCCACCUUAAGACUAAAGCGGCAACGCCCAAAUUGAAAUCAUUAGACCGUUCCUGAAACCAGUAGUGAAGUAUGUUAUUUAAUUCGAUGAUCCGCGAAUAAUCUUACCACGUUUUGAAUACUAUUAAAUUAAUACAAGCGCUGCACGGCUGUCUUUAGUUAAUGUCGCGAGACUUUGGU